AUUCAUAACAACGUCAUUCAUAACGCACACUCUUGUUGCGUGUUAUGAGUCUUGCAUGCCGCAUCAAGCUACAGAUAAGACUUCUAUUACGAGUAAAGGAAGCGCAGGUGCAAGAGAACUGUGAAAGAAACACGUAAAGGCCUGCGAUGCGACGAGUCGUCAGUCACCAAUGGGACAAAACGCGCCUUCCGAGAAACAUAGGUGACGGCGCGUUUACUUUCUCUGACCCAUAAAGCGGCAGCGGCUGGCUACAAAAGUGCGGUGCAGCGCGUACGCUCACAUUCGUUCUCCGCCACUGCAGCUACGCACAACUCCCACCUCACGACAUGGUACGCGCGACGACGUUGCUUAUUUUGGCGGUGGUGGCUGCCGUGCUGUCUAUCUCGUGGGCUGCUGUGGUGGGCCCGUCCGUCGACAUUGGGCCUAAACCCAGUCGACCACCUUACCAGCCAGGACCGUGGGUCUACCCCAAGCCCACGACGCCCAGAACUGGACGAUGAUGACUUGGACUUACGCCAAGCCACUCGCCCUUCCAACUUACUCCACUUCCCUACACUCAAUGACUGCAAUCGCAUCACACUGUGCUUGCUUUCACGUCAACUCACAGUUUCAGACGAUAGUCCUGUACAAUGGAUGAAUGCCAACAGAAACAUUUCCAUUUCACUUGCACCAUCACUUCUCAUACGAAUAUUAAAGACUUUUUGUUAGCUUAUGUAAAUAAAAAA